UUCGACACAAUGACAAAUAUCCCAAAUUGCUUUAGAUAGGAAUAUUUUGAAUUGAAUUAAUGCACAUCAUACAAAUAUCAAGGAUUUUAAAAAUAAUCUUUUUUUUUCUAGAAAAACUACUUGCCCACAAGCAACGACGAAGCCAAGAAUUUAUCCUCAAGGGUGUUCAAACUUAAAAUAAAUAAAAAUUCCGACAAAAGGUGUUCAAUAUAUGUUAUGUACCUCUAAAACCUAAUAUUUUACCUAUAUACACAAUUUAAUUUUCCAACAAAGGAUGGUCAAUUAACUGCCCAAAGCAAAGCGUGGCUACACCCGUGCCCACAAGUCUAGUUAGUGAAGAAUUUUGUGAGGUAGUUCAUAUUCAUGAAAUUAAACAUAUUAAGACGUUGUCCAGUUAAAGAUUUUAGUGAAAGCAAUCUUUUACCAUCAUUUCGUUCAUUAUCACCUCACAAUCACCAUCAUUAAUCACUAUCACCCAUCUUUAUUGCAAAACCACAACUGGCUUCACUAUAACCAAACACAUCCACCCCUAUAUAUAUAUAUAUAUAUAUAUAUAUAUAUAUACUUUGUAUAUAUACUGUAAUUUUUUACGAAAGAGAUUUGGAUCUCAUCGGAAAUGUUUGAUGCUUCUUGGGGCUUCUUUGAUGACCGUGAAGUCACCGGAUGAAUUGCCGAGUAAAUAGAUCAGAUCCGGACGCGGUUGUUGCUCCGCGGCGACUCCAUUGAGUCCGCUAUGAACAAUCCACCCUUUUCUGGAUUAUUGCCUAUGUAAUCAUAAAAAGCACAUUAAAGAAAGCCAAAAAUCCAGGUAGUCGCUAAGAAAUGAAGUAAAGAAAGCGGCUUCAAAAGAAAAGUCUCAAUUACAGUUUAAAAGGAUAGGAGUAAGUAAAAGGACAGUGAGACUGAGAAAAAUCAAGUAGAUCCUCCCUCCCCCUCGCUCCACUUCGUUUCGCUCGUUUUCUCUUUCCUUCUGCCUGCACCCCCUUCCCUUAUGUUGUUGAAAGACAUUCUAUUCUUCACUCUCUCUAGCAGAAUGCUAUAUGUUCUUAUUCAUAGUGUAUAUAUAUAUACACACACUUUGUAUAUAUACUGUAAUUUUUUACGAAAGAGAUUUGGCUGAACCUCAUUUCGCUCACCUAGCUCUGUCCCUGCUGCCAGUCACUUCCACCAGCCACCUCCACCACAUGUCACCAUCACACAACCAGCCACCAUAAGUCACUACCACCAAUCACUAUUACCAGCUGUCACUUUACAAACAUCGUUGAUGGCUUUAUCUCUAUAUGGGUCAAAAUCUGACCAGACAAGAAUCGGCAUGGGGAGACGACGAAAAGUUACUUGGGACUAUCGUAUCCACAUCACGCUGUCACACCUCUUUUUUCCCGAUAGGGGGUAGGGAGUUUUUCCUAUUUAAGUGAUAUUAAUCGAAAUGAGAUUAUUUACUUAUUUAAGAGUCAUCAUUCGAAAUUAAUUAUUUAUAGUAUUCCGAGUUACCAUUUAUUUUAAAAUCCCAAAUCCAGGAAAUUUUGACUCCGUUAAAGUUUGCGAACACCAGAAGAACGGGUAAGGAAUUCUGUUAACAUGGGAGAAGGUGUUAGACACUCCCGAGUUCCGUGGUUUUAGCACGGUCACUUUAAUCACACUUGGCUUAAUUAAAUUAUUCAAUUACUUGUUUUAAGAACCUAUGUAUAUUUACCCUUUUUACCGCUUUUAAUUACUUGAUUAUUCGUAAUUUAUAGAAUUAUCUGGAAAUGAGUCAUGCGUAUGUGUACUCUUUUGGUUUGGUGCGUCAAGAAUCAUGUUACGCGUACGUGUACACAAUUUACAACACUUAAUUAUUUAAGAAAACUUGGCCAAAGUCGCGCGAACGCGUACCUUGAUUUAUUUUGAGAAUCGUAAUUAUGUCAUGCGAACGUGUACACAAUCACGAUGAUAGAUUAAGUCGCGCCUAAAAUAUUUUCUAUGAAUAUUCAUUUUUAAGUCGUACUCAUGUCACGCGAACGUGUACACAAUUAAUAAUAUUUUAUUAUUAUUAAGAUUGUUUCGCCCAACAUUACGCGAACGCAUACGUUGGUCUUAAUUUUGGAGCCAACAAUUAUAUUAUGUGAAUGUCGACAACCCUAAAGAUUGCCUACCUGAGUAUUGACGGCCUAAACAUGCUACUAGCGAUCCAAACAAAUAAAGUAAAAUAAUUAACAUGAUAAAUUUAUUUUUUCAUUCUUGAUGUCCAUCCCACAUUCAAAACAACGAAAAUGCUAAUUUUCUUUACCUAUGCAUGAUGCUAUAUCCUUUUGACAGUUAUUAGAGCCACAAAAUGUCCAAGUCAAAUAAUAAACCAUAUAAAAAACAGAAAAGCCUAAAAUAAAAGGCUUAGUAAUAGACUAAUAAUUCAACAAUCACAAAAAUCCAUAGUCUUUAAACUAACGAGAGCUGAAAAAAUUACGAACACCAUCCAAACAAAUAUACGUAUAAUCUCAAACGCAUACGCAUUAGAUGGAUUCAAUUCGUUAAAAAUCAAUUAUAAGAGCAAACAUAAUUGAAGAAGAGAUGAAUAAGAAAUGGACCUCAAAUAAUUUUUGCUGAAGAAACUCUGCUAGUUGCCUUCCUAAUCAUUAAGCUACGAACAGGGAUUUUAAACCGAAAAGUUCGUCGGUGACCUCUGACCUCGGAACGGACGAUGUCGCUACCAAAUCCUCAAAUAAUUCUUGCCAAAGAAACUUUGCUAGUUGCCUUCCUAAUAAUUAAGUUACAAACAGGGAUUUUGAACUGAAAAGUUCGCCGACGACCUCUAACCUCGGAACGGACGGCGUCACUACCAAAUCUAAGUAGCCAAGACCUUAUGCUCACUGAAAAUUUCCUCGAUUAUUUUCCAAUCAGCCGAGAUUUUGAGACUGAAGGAAUUCAUUUCUGUUUGUGGAAAGGCCGGAGAUAGAGUUAUGCAACUAAAGAGGUGAUGGGUUUGGGGCUUUGUUUCUGGUCAGGAAGAUAGGGUGGCUAAUCCUUCUCCUUCAAGAUUGCGACUGAAGUUUCAGUCUUAGCUAGGGUGGGCAACUCAUUUUUUGUAUGAGAUUAAGGGUGCUUUUUUUUGGAUGAAUUUGAUGCUUGGGGAGAAGAAGAUGAUGGCUUCGGGUUUUUCCAAUUCACUGCCUUCCCCUCUUUUCUCGUCACUCUCUUUUUGUGCAUUUUUGUGAGUGUGUGUGCAUUUGAUAUUUUUGAGAAGGGGGUUGGAGGAGUUGUUGUGUGUUGAAGGAUCCAGGAAUGAGCGUCGCUCCUUGGGUUUCCAAACAAGGGGUUUUUUUGUCUUGCUCCCGUUAGUGAAGAUAGGAUGAGCUCUUUUCUCUUAACUUAAGUACUGUGUGAGUUUAAAGGGUAUUGGGCUUGGGUAGGUGAAAGAAGAUUGGGCCGAUUUGGCAAUUGAGCCACUUUAAACAAUUGUGUUCUUAGCCUAGUUUCAACAAAGACUAACCUCUUUCGCUUUAUUUAAUUUUUGCAAUAUU
rnacentral:lncRNA from 1 species